AACGAACGCUGGCGGCAUGCCUAACACAUGCAAGUCGAACGAAGCCUUCGGGCUUAGUGGCGCACGGGUGCGUAACGCGUGGGAAUCUGCCCUUUGGUUCGGAAUAACAGUUGGAAACGACUGCUAAUACCGGAUGAUGACGAAAGUCCAAAGAUUUAUCGCCAGAGGAUGAGCCCGCGUAGGAUUAGCUAGUUGGUGUGGUAAAGGCGCACCAAGGCGACGAUCCUUAGCUGGUCUGAGAGGAUGAUCAGCCACACUGGGACUGAGACACGGCCCAGACUCCUACGGGAGGCAGCAGUGGGGAAUAUUGGACAAUGGGCGAAAGCCUGAUCCAGCAAUGCCGCGUGAGUGAUGAAGGCCCUAGGGCUGUAAAGCUCUUUUACCCGGGAUGAUAAUGACAGUACCAGGAGAAUAGGCCCCGGCUAACUCCGUGCCAGCCGCCGCGGUAA
rnacentral:rRNA from 1 species